rnacentral:rRNA from 1 species
AAGGAUCAUUACCGAGUGUAGGGUUCCUAGCGAGCCCAACCUCCCACCCGUGUUUACUGUAACCUUAGUUGCUUCGGCGGGCCCGCCUUUAAGGCCGCCGGGGGGCAUCAGCCCCCGGGCCCGCGCCCGCCGGAGACACCACGAACUCUGUCUGAUCUAGUGAAGUCUGAGUUGAUUGUAUCGCAAUCAGUUAAAACUUUCAACAAUGGAUCUCUUGGUUCCGGCAUCGAUGAAGAACGCAGCGAAAUGCGAUAACUAGUGUGAAUUGCAGAAUUCCGUGAAUCAUCGAGUCUUUGAACGCACAUUGCGCCCCCUGGUAUUCCGGGGGGCAUGCCUGUCCGAGCGUCAUUGCUGCCCAUCAAGCACGGCUUGUGUGUUGGGUCGUCGUCCCCUCUUCGGGGGGGACGGGCCCCAAAGGCAGCGGCGGCACCGCGUCCGAUCCUCGAGCGUAUGGGGCUUUGUCACCCGCUCUGUAGGCCCGGCCGGCGCUUGCCGAACGCAAAACAACCAUUCUUUCCAGGUUGACCUCGGAUCAGGUAGGGAUACCCGCUGAACUUAAGCAUAUCAAUAAGCGGAGGAA